CUGAGUUCUACAAAACUCCCAACCCUUUGUGAAUUCUAUAUUUUGUUGCCUCGGCGCGAGCAGCAGCUACCCGGGAGCUACCUGGGAGUCAGCUACCCUGUAGUUGGCUACCCUGUAGCUACCCUGUAGUUGCGACUUGGCUCCGCCGGUGGACCAUCAAACUCUUGUUUUUACAGUGUAUCUCUGAACUAUAUAACAAAAUAAGUUA
rnacentral:misc_RNA from 1 species